AUUGAACGCUGGCGGCAUGCCUUACACAUGCAAGUCGAACGGCAGCACGGGAGCAAUCCUGGUGGCGAGUGGCGAACGGGUGAGUAAUGUAUCGGAACGUGCCCAGUCGUGGGGGAUAACGUAGCGAAAGCUACGCUAAUACCGCAUACGAUCUAUGGAUGAAAGCGGGGGAUCGCAAGACCUCGCGCGAUUGGAGCGGCCGAUAUCCGAUUCGGUCGUUGGUGGGGUAAAGGCUCACCAAGCCGACGAUCUGUAGCUGGUCUGAGCGGACGACCAGCCACACUGGGACUGAGACACGGUGCAGACUCCUACGGGAGGCAGCAGUGGGGAAGGUUGGACAAUGGGCGCAAGCCUGAUCCAGCAAUGCCGCGUGCAGGAUGAAGGCCUUCGGGUUGUAAACUGCUUUUGUACGGAGCGAAAAGGCUCUCUCUAAUACAGGGGGCUCAUGACGGUACCGUAAGAAUAAGCACCGGCUAACUACGUGCCAGCAGCCGCGGUAACAC
rnacentral:rRNA from 1 species